UACGUAGGGUCCAAGCGUUAUCCGGAAUCACUGGGCGUAAAGCGUCCGCAGGUGGCUAAUCAAGUCUGCGGUCAAAGACCGGGGCUUAACCCUGGAAAGGCCGUGGAAACUGAUAGAGCUAGAGUACCGUAGGGGUAGAGGGAAUUCCCGGUGUAGCAGUGAAAUGCGUAGAGAUCGUAAGGAAGGCCAGUGGCGAAGGCGAGUUCCUGGACAGUGACUGACGCUGAGGCACGAAGGCCAGGGGAGCAAACGGG
rnacentral:rRNA from 1 species